rnacentral:lncRNA from 1 species
UUGGAUGUCAUGGUUUUCCUGUUUGUCUCUAGAUAACACUUUUUGUUAAAGAAUUUAAAGCACUAUCCACACACCAUCUUUAUAAAAGCUUUAUACAUAAACGUGGUAUCUUUUUACCAGCAGUUUGAAGAUUUUCCAACAUGUAUCUCCAGGCCUCUUUUGUCCGGCUCUUUUCUCAGACACACUGGCCCCCUUCCCCACAAAGGCACUUGUCUUAGGCAAACAUACUCCAUUCCUGACUUCAUAGCUUCCCAGUGCCAUCAUUGCAGCUAGUCUGUCAAUCAUCUGCCUCCUCAUCCUGCAGUGCUACCCUCUCUGAUUGAUGGAAACAAGUUUUUCUUUAUCAUAACAAGUCAUGUAAGGCACAUAAAGUAAAUCCCAAGGUAAAAAGUAUUGUUGUGGAGUAUUACUUCUGACUGCCCCUAUUCAUACACAUGCCUCUGAACCAGAACAAGAAGGACAAUUAAGAAAACAACACCACCACCUGGUUCCCAUUUAAAAAAGAAAAAUCGGACUGGAGAUUUGCAAUGCUGACCUCCUGAGACGGAAAGUCAAAGAAAAAGAGAGAAAGACAGAAAAAGUGAGUGAGAGAGAGAACAGAAAAAGAGCAAGAUUUUAUUAAUUGUGGCAUUACCAUGUGUAAGCCGGAGCAUAGACCAUUGAUGCAGAUGCCUGACUUGCUGAUCCAGCCUGUGUGUCAGUACUGAGACCAACUUCAUCUUUCUGAAAUCACUCCGGGGUCAUGUCCAGCUCUUAGUAUUCUUUUUCUGAUGUGGAGGCAGAUGCCAAGAAGUUCUGAAUUAACAAGAAAAUCGUGACUAAAGGAUGGGGAGCAGAACCAGUAAAGUUUACAAAUGGAUAUUCUUAGACCCAGAAGAAAGAAAGGAGAAAAAAAACCCUUUAAUAUCUCCAGUGAUGAAUCCUUCUGAUAUAAUUAAUCUGUCAUAGUUUAACUGUUCUGGCAAAACUACUCUGCACAUGUUAACAUUUUCCUCUGUGUGAUUUAAGGCACUAGUUAUAUACAUUUAAUUUGCAUAAGUGAAUGUAUUCAUAUAACUGUUUAUGGAAUGAUAGAUUAAUAUUCAAAUACGUUCUUUUUGAAGUUUCUUUGGUAUUCUUAAGAUAUAAAAUUUUGACAUGUUAAAAUAUAAAAGAUGAUUUUAUGCUUUGUUGAAACUAUUGGAAUGAAAUAAAAAAGCAAUAACAAGUCAUAGUUCUUGGCUUAUAAUGAAGAAAGUAAAGCUGGUUUUGAAUAAUUUACAUUUUUACAUAAAAGUCAAAUGUUGUAAUAAUUAUAUUUGUUUCUUUUGUGAAAAAUGCAACUAAAUGAAUAUCCUCAUUCAAUUAGAACCCAUCAAACACGUGAACUAAACUUGAUGGCCUAUUACUUGGUGUUCAAGUUUGUGGAAUGCCUGAAGUUUGUCCUUGUGUAAACCAGCUAUUAAAUGCAAAUUUAGGUCAGAUUUAUGAGAAUACGUAUUUCC